rnacentral:rRNA from 1 species
CCCGCUGAACUUAAGCAUAUCAAUAAGCGGAGGAAAAGAAACUAACAAGGAUUCCCCUAGUAACGGCGAGUGAAGAGGGAAGAGCUCAAAUUUUGAAUCUGGCACCUUUGGUGUCUGAGUUGUAAUCUAGAGAAGUGCUUUCUGUGGCGGACCGUGCACAAGUCUCCUGGAAUGGAGCGUCAUAGAGGGUGAGAAUCCCGUCUUUGGCAUGGAUCCCUGGUGCUUCUGUGAUGCGCUCUCGAAGAGUCGAGUUGUUUGGGAAUGCAGCUCAAAAUGGGUGGUGAACUCCAUCUAAAGCUAAAUAUUGGCGAGAGACCGAUAGCGAACAAGUACCGUGAGGGAAAGAUGAAAAGCACUUUGGAAAGAGAGUGAAACAGUACGUGAAAUUGUUGAAAGGGAAACGCUUGAAGUCAGUCGCGUCGACCGAGACUCAGCCUUGCCUUGGCUUGGUGUACUUCUCGGCCCGACGGGUCAACAUCAAUUUUGCCCCUCGGAUAAUGGCAAGGGAAAGGUGGCACCUUUACGGGUGUGUUAUAGUCUCCUGUCGCAUGCGAGGGGCGGGAUUGAGGAACUCAGCACGCGCCUCGGUGUCGGGGCUUCGGCCCACGUUCACGUGCUUAGGAUGUUGGCGUAAUGGCUUUAAACGACCCGUCUUGAAACACGG